rnacentral:rRNA from 1 species
UACGUAGGGCGCAAGCGUUAUCCGGAAUUAUUGGGCGUAAAGAGCUCGUAGGCGGUUUGUCGCGUCUGCCGUGAAAGUCCGGGGCUCCACUCCGGAUCUGCGGUGGGUACGGGCAGACUAGAGUGAUGUAGGGGAGACUGGAAUUCCUGGUGUAGCGGUGAAAUGCGCAGAUAUCAGGAGGAACACCGAUGGCGAAGGCAGGUCUCUGGGCAUUAACUGACGCUGAGGAGCGAAAGCAUGGGGAGCGAACAGG